rnacentral:tRNA from 1 species
CAUCAGAUGACUGAAAGUAAGUAAUGGUCUCUUAAACCAAAAAAUAGUAAGUUAAACGCCUACUUCUGAGGG